rnacentral:rRNA from 1 species
AAUUUUGGACAAUGGGGGAAACCCUGAUCCAGCCAUCCCGCGUGUAUGAUGAAGGCCUUCGGGUUGUAAAGUACUUUUGGCAGAGAAGAAAAGGUAUCCCCUAAUACGGGAUACUGCUGACGGUAUCUGCAGAAUAAGCACCGGCUAACUACGUGCCAGCAGCCGCGGUAAUACGUAGGGUGCAAGCGUUAAUCGGAAUUACUGGGCGUAAAGGUGUGGUAGGGGUUUCGGAAAGAGAAAGGGGAAACCCAAGGGUCCACCUUUGAAACGGCAUUUUUACUUCCCGGGUUAGGGAAGUCAGAAGGGGGUAAAAUUCCACCUGUAACAAUUAAAAGCGGAGGUAAGGGGGAGAAAACCGGUGGCGAAGGGAACCCCCUGGGAUAAUACUGACGCUCAGACACGAAAGCGUGGGGAGCAAACAGG